rnacentral:snRNA from 1 species
CCAGCUCUCUUUGCCUUUUGGCUUCGGUCAAGUGCAGUAACUGUUCUUUUCUGUUUAAUCUCAGAAAGCUUCCCCACGGGGUUGCAGAAAGACUAAACCAGUUUUUGGACCCGGCUCCUCAGUCACUGAGCACCGCUCAUACUCUUGGGGCACAGUGUCGCUUCUACUGCACUGACGGAAGCUGACGCAAAGAACA